rnacentral:misc_RNA from 1 species
GUGAAUCAUCAAAUUUUUGAACGCAAAUUGCGCCUUUUUCGGAAGGCAUGUCUGCUUGAGGGCACCAUUCAACAAAUAAUGUGCAUUUCGUGUGCACACGUUGAUGAGCUUUCCAAAAUUAUGUAUUAUUAUUUUUGUUGCGGAUAAUUAAAAACGGGGAGCUUUUUUUUAAUUCGGGGUGAGUAAAAUUUUUUUUUGGUUUGGUUUUGAAAAACGUGA